rnacentral:rRNA from 1 species
UGGGGAACCUGAUCCAGCAACGCGCGUGGGGAUGAAGGUCUUCGGAUUGUAACCCUGUGGGAGGACGAAGGCUGCGGGCGAACAGUCCGUACGCUUGACGGUACCUCAAGAGGAAGCCCCGGCUAACUCUGUGCCAGCAGCCGCGGUAAUACAGAGGGGGCGAGCGUUAUUCGGAAUUAUUGGGCGUAAAGGGCGCGUAGGCGGCCGAGCAAGUCUUGGGUGAAAUCCCUCGGCUCAACCGAGGAACUGCCUUGGAAACUGCUUGGCUUGAGGCCGGGAGAGGGUGGUGGAAUUCCCAGUGUAGCGGUGAAAUGCGUAGAUAUUGGGAGGAACACCAGUGGCGAAGGCGGCCACCUGGACCGGUCCUGACGCUGAGGCGCGAAAGCGUGGGGAGCAAACAGGAUUAGAUACCCUGGUAGUCCACGCCCUAAACGAUGGGUACUCGGUGUCGCGGGUAUCAACCCCCGCGGUGCCUUAGCUAACGCGUUAAGUACCCCGCCUGGGGAGUACGGUCGCAAGGCUG